GGGGGAUAUUGCACAAUGGAGGAAACUCUGAUGCAGCAAUGCCGCGUGAGGGAAGACGGUCUUCGGAUUGUAAACCUCUGUCCUUGGUGAAGAUAAUGACGGUAGCCAAGGAGGAAGCUCCGGCUAACUACGUGCCAGCAGCCGCGGUAAUACGUAGGGAGCAAGCGUUGUCCGGAUUUACUGGGUGUAAAGGGUGCGUAGGCGGCUCUUUAAGUCGGGCGUGAAAGCUGUGGGCUUAACCCACAAAUUGCGUUCGAAACUGGAAGGCUUGAGUGAAGUAGAGGUAGGCGGAAUUCCCGGUGUAGCGGUGAAAUGCGUAGAGAUCGGGAGGAACACCAGUGGCGAAGGCGGCCUACUGGGCUUUAACUGACGCUGAGGCACGAAAGCAUGGGUAGCAAAC
rnacentral:rRNA from 1 species